GAUGAACGCUGGCGGCGUGCCUAACACAUGCAAGUCGAACGUGAGAGCUUAGCAAUAGGCUUGAAAGUGGCGAACGGGUGAGUAACACGUAGGUAACCUGCCGCGCAGAGGGGGAUAACGACUAGAAAUGGUCGCUAACACCGCAUGGUACCAUUUUGGGGGGACCCUGAAUGGUUAAAACCUUGGUGCUGCGCGAGGGGCCUGCGUCCGAUUAGUUAGUUGGUGAGGUAACGGCUCACCAAGACGAUGAUCGGUAGCUAGUCUGAGAGGAUGAUUAGCCACACGGGAACUGAGACACGGUCCCGACUCCUACGGGGGGCAGCAGUGAGGAAUAUUGCACAAUGGACGCAAGUCUGAUGCAGCAACGCCGCGUGGAGGAUGACGGCCCUUGGGUUGUAAACUCCUUUUUUCAGGGAAGAGAAUGGACGGUACCUGAAGAAUAAGUCACGGCUAACUACGUG
rnacentral:rRNA from 1 species